UACGGAGGGUGCGAGCGUUGUCCGGAAUCACUGGGCGUAAAGGGCGUGUAGGCGGCCCGGUAAGUCCGCUGUGAAAGUCGGGGGCUCAACCCUCGGAUGCCGGUGGAUACUGUCGGGCUUGAGUGCGGAAGAGGCGAGUGGAAUUCCUGGUGUAGCGGUGAAAUGCGCAGAUAUCAGGAGGACACCAAUUGCGAAGGCAGACUCGCUGGGACGUUACUGCGCUGAGACGACGAAAGCGUGGGGAGCAACAG
rnacentral:rRNA from 1 species